UACGAAGGGGGCAAGCGUUGUUCGGAAUUACUGGGCGUAAAGGGCGCGUAGGCGGCCGAUCAAGUCAGGCGUGAAAUUCCCGGGCUCAACCUGGGGGCUGCGCUUGAUACUGAUUGGCUUGAAUGCGGGAGAGGAUAGUGGAAUUCCCAGUGUAGAGGUGAAAUUCGUAGAUAGUUGGGAAGAACACCAGUGGCGAAGGCGGCUAUCUGGCCCGUUAUUGACGCUGAGG
rnacentral:rRNA from 1 species